AUGACAGAUGUAUGUGUUAUAGACCAUUCAACUAAAUGUGUUAGAGAUUUCAAUGUUGUAUGUUCUACCAUCCACAAUUCCCCUGCCUUGGGCAGGGGAGUAAGGGCGGCCGCUCUGGCCCCUGACCCAUAUUGUGCAGGCAUAGUGUAUAUACCAUUGCAAUGGUUUAUGUCCUGCCAAACUAGCAAAAAUGAGCAGCCCACCGAGGGUCGAACAUGCCAUCUUGCCAGGGAGGAAGGAAGGAAGGGGGCACAAAAAUGCCUUGUUAGGGAGGAAGUGACAAGGAGUGCCAAUCUACUUUUUUUCAGAGCUCACAUAUUGCCAUACUUGUACUUUUUGAUAGAUGAAAAACAGAUGUGUUUGUGUGGCCAUGGAUAA
rnacentral:rRNA from 1 species